CCAAAAACAUAGCCCUUAAAAAAAUUAAAGGUGAAACCUGCCCAAUGAUUUAAUAAUUUACACUUAAAAGAUAAACAAAAAAUUAAAUGGCUGCAGUAACCAUGACUGUAAAAAUGUAGCAUAAUAAUUCGCCACUUAAUUAGUGGAUAGUAUGAAUGGUUAAACGAAAAUUCCACUGUCUUAUAAAAUACAAUAAGAAAUUUAAAUCAUAGUUAAGAUGCUAUGUAAAACUGUAAGACGAAAAGACCCUAUAAAGCUUAACUAUAAAUCUUAAUACUUCAACAUUAAAACUAAUAAAAAAAAAUUAUUAAGAUCUGGUAGUUUCAUUGGGGCGAUGGUCUCUAAAAACAAACAGAGAUAAACUAAUUUAAUAAUAAAAUUUACUGUACAAUUAAUAAAUUUAACAGUUACAAAGUAGGGUAUAAUGACCCAUUAUUCUAAUUAAAAAAAAAUAAUGAACAAUAAAUAAAAGCUACUUUAGGGAUAACAGGAUAAUAAUUUCUUAGAGACCCAAUCGAAGAAAAAGUUUAUCACCUCGAUGUUGAAUUAAGAUAACCUAAUGACGCAGCAGUAAUUAAAGGUAGGUC
rnacentral:rRNA from 1 species